rnacentral:rRNA from 1 species
AAUGGAGGCAACUCUGAUCCAGCCAUGCCGCGUGCAGGAAGACUGCCUAUGGGUUGUAAACUGCUUUUAUACAGGAAGAACCACUCUACGUGUAGAAUUCUGACGGUACUGUAAGAAUAAGGAUCGGCUAACUCCGUGCCAGCAGCCGCGGUAAUACGGAGGAUCCAAGCGUUAUCCGGAAUCAUUGGGUUUAAAGGGUCCGUAGGUGGAUAAUUAAGUCAGAGGUGAAAGUCUGCAGCUCAACUGUAGAAUUGCCUUUGAUACUGGUUAUCUUGAGUUAUUAUGAAGUAGUUAGAAUAUGUAGUGUAGCGGUGAAAUGCAUAGAUAUUACAUAGAAUACCAAUUGCGAAGGCAGAUUACUAAUAAUCAACUGACACUGAUGGACGAAAGCGUGGGGAGCGAACAGGAUU